rnacentral:lncRNA from 1 species
AUGUGAGAAGACAUUAGAAGUUACUUCAAAAGGGAACUGGUAAUCUGGUAUCCAGGAAUGAAAUUUAGAAACUACAGAAGAAAAAUACACAAUCCUUCUGAUGAACUGAAUUAUGACUCAUGGGGCAGCUUGGAUGAUUUUUGCUUGCUGAAUUUUAUGGCCCGGUAGUACAUGUGGUAGUUCUCAUAUUUGGGGUCAUUGUAAAGUUUCCAUACGACUCAGAUUAGACUGAAUCAUUCCUUUUGAUCAGCUCCAUAAUCAAUAUUGAUUGUCAAAGGUGAAUGUAUCAUGUAAGGAUUCAGAUUUCAUUUAAGAAGAGUUUAUGGAAUGUUUACAGGACAUAACGAUCUGGCAUAGGCUUUGUCACAGAUACAGAGACAAUCAGGUAUGGAUCUUCUUCCCUAGAAACAGAAUCCUGGGAGCUGAAUCAAAACAGGAAUGUAAAUUUCCAUGAAAGGACUAAGGUGAUGAAGAUACAAGAUUAUGAAGUCACGAGAUAAGACAGUUAUCAGUGGGACAGGGUGGAGGGGAUGAAUGAGAGAGCAAUUGCAGAGGGAAUAGAAAUACCAUGGCCGUUGACUGUAAGAAAACUGCCCAAACUGUUGGAUUCACUGAGCACUCCAGAUUGAUUAUGAUAAGGUGCCUCAUCCCAAGGAACUUAGAGUCUGGUGAGAGCUCAUUGGCUAUACUAGUUGGAUGUAGAAGGAAACUACAACUCCUAAAGGGAAUUGCAAAGUUUUCCCGGGUCAUCACCUAGCAACAAAACCCAGCAAAACAUCCGCGAAGCAGUUUUUGCAAUGCAGCCAUCACCGACUAGCAGAAGUGACUUGUGGAAGGCUGAAUUUGCCAUGGAGGGAAUUGAAUGCUUUCUUCUUUAUUCAAGUAGAAUGCUGAGAUGUGCAGUCUGGAUCCUGCUUGGACCAAAUUAAUGUACAUUAAAGAAUAAACCAUAAUGCCCGUUGUGAAUAAAAGGUCGG